GUUCAUGUAUAUCAUCUGCAUUCUAGUAAUGUACAAAAAUGAGAAAUAGAUACUCCUUAAAGUGAUUACUCGAAAGAAACAAGGGAGGACAUUGAACAAGUUCUUGCAGUUGGUAUUGCAAAAGAUAAACUCACAAAUUGUCAUUAGAAUUUCAAGUUAGUCCUUUGGAAUUGGAUGCAUCAGUGUCUUUGGAAGAUUUCGAGUCUUCAGUUUUCUCCAUUGUUUGUUGGAUACCUUCUUGAUAUCCUUGUAUGAAACUUUUGAGUGCAUCUUUAUAUGCAGAAGCUCUUGUCAUGU
rnacentral:misc_RNA from 1 species